GAGGCAGGAGGAAUGUCUUACUGCUGUCAGUCAUGUUUUGUACACGCUGCUUAUAUUUUUUCCAACCCGCUGUGUGUGAGGUAGAAUUAUAAAGUGUAGCAAUGAGUCAUUGCAUCUGGGCUGUUUUCAAUUCAGUUUGAGUUAUUUUGAAAGUAGGAGUUUAGUUUAUGUGUGGCUUCCAUCAUGGCAUUUUCUGUGAAAGGGUAAAUUGAUAACUUUUCAUAAUUUAUAUCAAAACGUUUAAGGAAGUAAAGUAUGAGAGUUCAGUGUUUGUGAAUACUUAUCUCUCUCAUUUCCUUCUCCCAGGAGGUUCGAACAGGCAGUAACAUUCCCUGUUGGCUCGUUCACAUUUGAUCAGCUCUGGGACUGAACCACAGUAGGACAUGGAUAAAGGCACUCUUCAGAUUUAACUGCAGCUUGUACAUGAAGGAAGACAAAACAAGGACCCCGAUGAUAGAUAUUGCCAGAGCGACACUCAGACAAUACACCAGGAGAAGCGGGACUGUAGUGGGUGAUGGAAGCCAGAGCGCAGUGGUAGGUUCCUGCAUCUGAGGACCUCACCAGAUCUAGCGCGAGGU